UGGGUAACCUGCCCCUCUCUCUGGGAUAACCCCGGGAAACCGGAGCUAAUACCGGAUACUCCGGCUGGAUCGCAUGGUCCGGCCGGGAAAGGUCCGCCGGAGAGGGAUGGGCCCGCGGCCUAUCGGCUUGUUGGUGGGGUCAUGGCUCACCAAGGCGACGACGGGUAGCUGGUCUGAGAGGGCGACCGGCCACACUGGGACUGAGACACGGCCCAGACUCCUACGGGAGGCA
rnacentral:rRNA from 1 species